UGUAAAAUAAAUGAUGUAAUCUAUUGUGAUUGUAAUCGGAAGUAAAAUGUAAACUGAAUUGAAAUGUAUUUAGCUGAAUGCUUGUAAUAGUAAGUAGAUUAUGUAUUUUGAUACUUCCUUAUGCAAUCUGGAUUGAUAUCCGUUCCUUGUUGGAACAUUCGUUGAUUGUUUGGAUUGCGACGCCUUGGACGUACUGGGGAGACUCUGUCCGCGUACAAGGGAAUUCCCGGUCCGUCCGGCGGUCUGUCGGCGGCGCCGCGACCCGGUCCAAAUUGGCGGUUAGUCGCGGGGCGUGACAGAGAAGAUGGUAUCAGAGCAUAAAGUAGAACUGGGAAGAAAAUGGUU
rnacentral:lncRNA from 1 species